AGAGUUGAUCAUGGCUCAGGAUGAACGCUAGCGACAGGCUUAACACAUGCAAGUCGAGGGGCAGCAUAAAAGUAGCAAUACUUGGUGGCGACCGGCGCACGGGUGAGUAACGCGUAUGCAACCUACCUAUCAGAGGGGAAUAACCCGGCGAAAGUCGGACUAAUACCGCAUAAAACAGGGGCACCGCAUGGUGAUAUUUGUUAAAGAAAUUCGCUGAUAGAUGGGCAUGCGUUCCAUUAGGUAGUUGGUGAGGUAACGGCUCACCAAGCCGACGAUGGAUAGGGGAACUGAGAGGUUGGUCCCCCACACUGGUACUGAGACACGGACCAGACUCCUACGGGAGGCAGCAGUGAGGAAUAUUGGUCAAUGGGCGAGAGCCUGAACCAGCCAAGUCGCGUGAAGGAAGAAGGAUCUAUGGUUCGUAAACUUCUUUUGCAGGGGAAUAAAGUGCAGGACGUGUCCUGUUUUGUAUGUACCCUGAGAAUAAGGAUCGGCUAACUCCGUGCCAGCCGCCGC
rnacentral:rRNA from 1 species